CUAACACCUCUUGACAACAUCACUGAAAUAGGAUCUAUAACACAACAACAGAUGUGAAACCCUGAUCUCAACUAUAUAGGAUCAGAAAUGCAAAGAGGAUACAGAAGGCACCUUCUCAACACACAUUCAAGCACAUGUUUUUGCUUCUGACCACAAAUUUUCCUCUUUGAUGCUCUGCAGGUUCUGAAACCACCACUCUGACAUCAUCUGGAAUAUUUGUUUAACUGCUGUGUGGGCCACAAGAAAGAAACAUUAGUGAGCUGAGUGAAAAAAUUCACUUUUUUUUUUUUUCCCAGAGAAAAUCUGAAAAGAUCCCUGAAAUGGGGUAGAGAGAGUAGAAGUGUUUAAAUAAUGCUGCCAGAAACUCAAGUCAGUAAGCUCAGACAAAAAUGGAGAAAGCAAGAGUUAACAUACAGUAAAACACUGCAGUGAAGGGAAAAAGCAACACAGAACUUGCAAUUGAGUAUCUCAAUAAAUAAGGAAAGAAAGGAGAAGCAAUACUCCAGUUCUUUCUGUUCACAGAUGAAAGGAAUUUUGGACACCUGAAAUUUUUCUGUAGGAAGCUUUUCAAGUGAGGCUAAUUGAGGUUUUUAAAUGAGUCGGGAAGUUGCCUCAGUGUCAACCUGGAACCUGAAACCCGAAUACCUGGCUGCCUGCCAAGUGAAGACCAAAACAAAAUCUCUCUUUACACAUGUUAUUUCCAGAAGCUGCCAGUGUCCUCACUAAAGAAAAGACCAACACUUUUUCCUCUUGUCGUCCAAGUAACACAAAAAAAAAAAAAAAAAGGAGUAUCUUUCACUUCCUGAAAAGCAUCAUCAUUUUUCACUAAGUGACAUCAGCAAAACAGUUGCAGGAAUCACUUAUUCAAAGACUCUGAGCCUCUUCUGUUCAGGCUUGUUAUUUUUAGCUUCAGUAGAUUUCACACUCCUCAGUACCUCAGACUGCAAAGAAUUUGGUUCUAUCUUUAGAGCCAGGAACAGCUAAAUUAGAAGUCCAUCUCUGAGGGGUAUGAUGAAGUUGAGUGGCUGAGACAUUACCCACAUCUGGAGCAUGCACGUCCUCGGUCAGCACAAAGCCUCAGCCCUUGAGAAGGCAGGGAAAUGAAAUCUCAAAAGCCACACAAACACCUGCAGCUACAAAACAGACCCCUCUGUGUCAGCUUUCUGCUGCUCCCGAGUGCAAUUUGUGAAAUCCAGUGUUUUCCUAGACAGAAGAUGCUUUAGCUUGUCUUACCAUGGAAAAACUGCAGUGCUGAGGAUAAAGUACCUCCCGCAAACCCACCUUAUCAAGAUACAGAAGGAGAAAUCCCAAAGGUUGACAGUUCCAAAUGCAUCUGGAAAAGUCAAAACAUAUAAUGGGGAUGACCAGACAUAAUGCAGGACAUCUUCUUUUGGCAAAUCUGCAGAGGCUACAAAGAGUCUGUAAUGAGAGGGAAGCUUUGUACUUAACAAACUGGAGAAGCGAGACAUUUUCCCCAUCCUUCUGCUCCAGCCCUUUCUCAUUAUUUGGCUGGAAGACACCAGUGAUUCCACAAGAUAUCUGAAGAUGAGCAGCAAUGUUUGAUACUGGUUUGCAACCAAUCUUUCAGUUCUACCAUUAAGUUUAGAAUUACUACAGAAGUGAAUACAUUUCCUGGCUGGAAUACAAUCCCAGAGGUGAAUCUCC